rnacentral:rRNA from 1 species
GAUGAACGCUGGCGGCGUGCUUAAUACAUGCAAGUCGAGCGAACGGACGAGAAGCUUGCUGUUCUGAUUUUAGCGGCGGACGGGUGAGUAACACGUGGAAAACCUACCUAUAAGAGUGGGAUAACUUCGGGACACGGGAGCUAAUACCGGAUAAUCUUUUUCACCGCAUGGUUCAAGAGUGAAAGACGGUUUUGCUGUGACUUAUAGAUGGAUUCGCGCUGCAUUAGCUAGUUGGUAAGGUAACGGCUUACCAAGGCAACGAUGCAUAGCCGACCUGAGAGAGGGAUAGGCCACACGGGAGGGGAGACGCGGUCCAGGCGCUUGCGGGAGGGAGCAGUAGCGAACGGUCCGCAAUGGGCGAGAGCCUGACGGAGCAACGCCGCGCGAGUGAUGGAGGUCUUCGGAGAGGAAAACUCGGUUAUGAGGGAAAAACAUCUGUCUAAGGAGCCGUGCACAUCGUGACGGUACCUAAUGAGAAAGCCACGGCUAACUACGUG